rnacentral:lncRNA from 1 species
CACCUGGCUAAAGGUAACGUGACGUCACUGCGUUAGCCACGCCCCACAUUUUUCAUUUGAGCGGAGUUACCAGAGUGUCACGCUUCUGUGCAGUAAUGAGCCACUUUCUGCUAGUCAUUUUCUCUCUCAUCAUCGCCAGUGCUGCUGAGUUUCGCCGAUGCUCUCCCCUAUGGCUUAACGCCAGUCAAGUUAAAGUCAGCUGUAGCGACGUCCAGAUUGCACAGUACUGUGAUCCUGAUCAGAGCUGUCGACACACGAGCAAGCCCGGGGUCUCGCUGGAGAAGCACAGGGAAAGAGGACUCUGCCUAACCAUCACCAACUGCUCCUACGAGUCGUGGUCCUGCGAAGCACUGAGUUACGUCCAUGCCGAAGAAUUUGGGGAGAAUUUUACUGUCCACGUGACGUGCAACCAACCUACUAGCACGUUGCCCAGUCCAGGACCUACAAGCACUUCAGCAACUUCAGGAUCUGCCAGCACUUUGCCCAGUCCAGGCAAUAAUGAGUCACAGUCAGAGUCUCUUUCAGCUGGGGUCAUUGUGCUGAUCAUCUUUGGGCUGAUCAUCGUGUUGAUCAUCUUUGGGCUGAUCAUCUUUGUGCUUUGCAUCCGUUACAAGAAGGUGAAGUGCUUCAGGAAAGCCAUUCGUGACAUCUUCUGUCAUAAACGAAGUAUCAAUAGGACUCCUAGAGAAGAGCAUUUGGUUGAUUUGGAAGGCGGGAAGAAAAUCAUGGUGUAAAGUAAUGAUUAAGAAAAACCUACUCCGGGAAUACAACAUGAAGGAGAUCUCUUCUGCCACCUCAACUUGAAUAUGAUGUGCAAUAGUUAAGUUAAGUGAUAUCCUGGCAUACAAGGCAGUCAACAGACCAUUGUCUUGUUGUAGAGGUCUGCAUGAGAGGUCAUCCCACCUGUACGCAGCAAUCAUAAUCCCGUGCCAAACUGUUGGGUCAGAUACCAUGGACGUGCCUUCAAACCUCUACCUUGGUAAACCUACCAGAAGUCUCAAAGUUCUUCUAGAACAGGGAUUUUCUACAUUUGAUGUUUACCUCUGCAACAAAGUCAUGAUAAACUAAAGUACAUUUUACUCUGCAUAAGAGUGUCUGGCAAAUACUUCUGUUUAUAUAUACUGUGUAUUACGCCACUGGGUUUGAUUGUUACAUGACUGGUUUUGGAAUCAGCAUUGGGACAGUAUUGUAAUCUUGUGCCAUCCUGAGGAGGAGGGCUUCUCCACCCGAACAUCUCCCAAGGUUUAUUCCUCUGUAACUAAACCUUUUGGGGAGUUUUUUCUUCACACUGUCACCUUUGGCUUCUUCACUGGGGGACACAAAGACCACAGUAUGUAUUUUAAGAAGUGCUGCUUAAAAUGUAUUUAUAAAUAUUCAGUAUUUUAGUUUUUUAUGAUGUUCUAAAUUAUUUUAUAUUAACUUAACGCUUGCACAAUUUUCCCUUAAAAUAAAAUUUCUUG